AAAGAAAAUAACAAUGAUUCCCCUAGUAACGGCGAGCGAAGAGGGAAUAGCUCAAAUUUUAAAUCUGUUGGGUCUUACCUAACCGAGUUGUAAUUUGAAGAAACGUUUUCUGCGUGUUUGAUUUAGCCCAAAUCCUUUGGGAUAAGGUAUCAUGGAGGGUGAGAAUCCCGUCCGGCCUAAUCAAAUGUGCUUUACGAUACGUUUUCUAAGAGUCGAGUUGUUUGGGAUUGCAGCUCAAAAUGGGAGGUAAAUUUCUCCUAAGGCUAAAUAUAGGCGAGAGACCGAUAGCGAACAAGUACCGUGAGGGAAAGAUGAAAAGAACUUUGAAAAGAGAGUUAAACAGUACGUGAAAUUGUUGAAAGGGAAACGAUUAAAGUCAGUCGUACUAACGGGGAAUCAACCUUUUGAGGGUGGAAUUGUGGGAUUCAGAGUGCCUUUGUCUUUCACAACCUACUUUUUUUGGGUGCACUUUCUCGUAUUGUAGGUCAGCAUCGGUUUCGACCGUUAUAAAAUGACUGGAGGAAUGUAGCUUCGAUCUCGUAUUGAAGUGUUAUAGCCUUUGGUAGAUGUAACGGAUGGGAUCGAGGAUUGCAAUGAAUACCCUCAUGGGCUAUCCGCCUGGCCUCUGACAUGUCACUCUGGUGCCGAAAGCUUGCUUAUGGUAUUAUAGUGUACGGUCAAAAGGUUAGAACGGAUUAAAUU
rnacentral:rRNA from 1 species